rnacentral:rRNA from 1 species
AUUGAACGCUGGCGGCGGGCCUAACACAUGCAAGUCGAGCGAGCGGCGGACGGGUGAGUAAUGUAUGGGGACUGCCCGAUAGAGGGGGAUAACUACUGGAAACGGUAGCUAAUACCGCAUACUAUCGGAUAACCCAUAUGGGAUUAGCUAGUAGGUGAGGUAAUGGCUAACCUAGGCGACGAUCCCUAGCUGGUCUGAGAGGAUGAUCAGCCACACUGGGAAUGAGACACGGCCCAGACGCCUACGGAGGCAGCAGUGGGGAAUAUUGCACAAUGGGCGCAAGCCUGAUGCAGCCAUGCCGCGUGUAUGAAGAAGGCCCUAGGGUUGUAAAGGACUUUCAGUCGGGAGGCGUUAGCGACAGAAGAAGCACCGGCUAACUCCGUGCCAGCAGCCGCGGUAAUAC